rnacentral:rRNA from 1 species
CAGUCGCCGCGGGAAUACGUAGGUCCCGAGCGUUGUCCGGAUUUAUUGGGCGUAAAGCGAGCGCAGGCGGUUAGAUAAGUCUGAAGUUAAAGGCUGUGGCUUAACCAUAGUACGCUUUGGAAACUGUUUAACUUGAGUGCAAGAGGGGAGAGUGGAAUUCCAUGUGUAGCGGUGAAAUGCGUAGAUAUAUGGAGGAACACCGGUGGCGAAGGCGGCUUACUGGCUCAUACUGGACGCUGAGGUGCGAAAGCGUGGGGAGCAAACAGGAUUAGAUACUCGCGUAGUCCCUGUCUCUUAUACA